UGUUAAUUCUCUGAUGGCUGGGUCUGCGUUUUACUCAUCUCUGAACUCCCUAAUCUGGAUCUUUCUCUAGAUCCGAACUUUGUACUGCCAUUACCUGCUCAUUUAUCCAUUUCGCACGGUUUUUGGUGCCCAUGAACCAGACACGAAUUGCCAGUUUAUUCAUUGAUUCAUUCGCUAACUGAACAAAUCUGUAAUAAGCACCUAACUUGGGCUAGCACCCGGCUAGGCUAGGGGGAUUCAAAAGAUGCAUAAUACAUGGCAGUUGCCCUCAAAGCUCACAGAGACGACUGUCCGUAACCAAGCAACUAUAGUUCAAUAUCUUGUGUGCCUUGUCAGGGACAGAUGCAGCCUAUGGGCGCCCCAAGGAGGAGCACCGAACCCCAGAGAGAUAUCUAAGCUGAGGCAUAAAGACACCCGAAAUUGCUGGGUGCAAAGGAGAGGACUGGCAGAGGGCACUGCAUGAGUCUAGGCAUGAGAAAACACCCUGCUAUUGCCUGGGAACCCUAAACCCAGAACCCCUAGUCUGCGCUGCUGGGCUGUCCAGGUGGGGUGGGGUGAGGUGGGGAAGAGGGAACAAAUGAGGGCACAUGAGGAUGAAGAAGUAGACAAGGCCUACAACUCCCCCACCCCCAACAGAGUUUGGACUUUGCUCUGAGGGCAUUAGAUAGUCUCUGACUGGCUUUUCCGAGGAGGUUGACCCUGUUUUGUGUUUUUAAAAGAUUGCUAAAACCAAAGCACAUACCAUUAAUACUAAAUGUGAGGCUGUUGUAGUUGUUGAGGGAAGGAUGGCAGGGAAAAGGUGAGGUAGGCUGGAGAAUGUUAGAGUGAGCUGUUCUUAACUUCACCGACCCAUUGAGAAUCUGAGGGCAGCAUGUUUCUUACGGGCGCAGGAGUCCCUAACCCUAGGAGGUCCAGAGCCAUUGGAAGCCACUGACGGUGUAAGCCCAAGAGGUACAGGAUGAAAUCUGAAUUUUACUGUGACCUGUGUGCCUGCCCAGUGGAGAGUGGAGUGUGUCUGUCACCACAUGCAGAUGUUGAGAAGGUUCUUGGAAACCUGGGUUUGGACGUGGCGUGGAGGUCUGGGCUAGAGAUGAAGAUGAGAAGUUGUCGAUAGACAGAUGAUAAUUGCGGCUGUGGAUGAGGAGAAGCUUACCCAGGGAGAAGAAUGUGGAGAGAGAAGAGAGAUGGCCCAGGAUGAAGUUUUGAGGUACAUCUACAGAUUAGGGCUGUGUACAAAAGGAUCUGCCUGCAAAGGCUGAUCAGGAGUGGCUGGACAGCUUGGAGAAAGCCCAGGAGAGUGGGCUUAUGGAAGGAGGCCAAGGGAGACAUUUUAGAAAGCUGGGAAGACUUGAUGGAGGGAAUGCUCUGAGAGGUCAGAUAGGAGGAGGGUGCAGCCCUGGGCUUUGGUUUAUGGACAGGCGUGGAGAUUGUUGGGGACUUAGGGAGGGCUAUUUAUGUGUGGCAUGAUGGAGGGGGUCAGAUGGCAGUGGUCUGAUGAGUGCAGGAGGGAUGAGGGAGGCAGUGGGUCUUUCGAGAAGUUUUUGUAUAAAAAGGACGAGAAAGAUAAAGUGCUAGGGCCAAUAUGUAUGUUAGGGGAGGUGUGUUUCAAGGUAGAAGAAACCUGAGAUUUGUUUAAAAGUGAAUGGCAGAUCCAGGAGAGAGAGGUUAACCAAGAGUGUAAGAAAUAGGGGAGAUAAUCAGCGAGUAAAGUUCUCUCAAGCAUGUGCGAGGGGCUGGGAUCAGGCAUGUGGGUUGGGGGGGUUCGUCUUGGGGAGGAGGAGGGAUGAGUUCUCUAGAACCCAAAAGCAGGAACAAAGAGAGGAUGGGUGCAGAUGUAGAUGUAGGUUUAUAGUGGGAUGUUAAGGGAGAUUUCAUUUUGAGCUUCUAUUUUUUCUGCAAAGUGGGAGGCAAGGUCUUCUGCUGAGAGUGAAGAAGAGGUGGUGAGGAGUUUGAAAGAAUGAUCAUUCAGAGUGUUGAGAAGCAACUUGCCCACAAAAUCCCCAAUUGCCUGACAGCCUUGGCUCCCCAGUUGAGGUUGGUGGUCCUUAGUGUAUGUGUGUCUCGUCCUGUCCUGCUGAGUGAAUUCCUCCAUCAGGGCUCACCUACCCAGCUGCAGGCUGGGGAGAUGUAUGUACAUAGUGGGAUUUAUCCAGGCCUAGGGCUUUGCCAGAUGGGUGGGGAAAAAAGGGCACAGGAGUCUAAAGUAUUGGCAAAGAGAUGCUAAAAUUCUGGGUCCUGGGAUCUACACUGGGUAGCGAGGGAAGCAAGGCAGAUGGAUGUUUGCAGGGAGAGAGUGGAAUCCUUCACGGGCCAGGCCUUAUGAGGGACCCCUGAGAUCAGAGAGGGCUGGGAGCUGGAACUGGUGGUGACACCCAGGUUUCUGCUUGGGUGGCUGGAUGGGUGAUGAAUGUACAUGAUGAGCAUACAAACCAUUGUAAGAUCUAAGAUUUUUUUCCACCAACACCUCCAGGAACCAGUUUUCAUUUCCUCGAGGGCAUCAAGGCCCCAUUUGAGAAUGCAUGCCUUAGUAGAAUGUAAACUCCCUGAAGGCAGACUUACCUUUGCCUUGUUGGUUGCAUUAUUUCCAACAUUUUGCACAGUGCCUGCAUACAGCAGGCACUUAAUAAGUAUUGGCAAGUGCAGGAAUGGUUACAGACCUCUCCUGAAGAAGAAGGGAGGGCAGGGCAGGCAAGGUGCUCACUGAGUUUAGGCCUGGAGGCAGGAAUGUGGAAGGCUUUGGAAGGCAGUGGGGAAGGAACUGGAUUGUGCAUCCUUGGCUGACCCUGGAAGAAAUGCAGAACUGGAAUUAAAUUAAAGAACGAAAACAAAACCACACCAGGAUUGUCUAAUACCUUCUGUCUGGCAACAGGUUGUUUUUGUUUUGCUCCUAAUAAAAUUCAUUGUCGGCA